rnacentral:misc_RNA from 1 species
UCAGAUAUGAAGAGGUAUCAUUAAAAUUUAUGAAUUGAAGGGCGGAGGUAAAUGAAUGGGAUAGAGGCAAGAGUCUGUAAAGUACUUGAGAUUAGACCAACCAUUGCUAAAAAGUUAAAACUAACCAAUUAAUUAGUUGGCCCUUGAUCCUUAUAAAUCCCUUAGACAUGAUGUUUCCUUUUAGAUGUGGGACUCUUAACAAGUAUUAAAACGGAAAUAAGAAG